UACGAAGGGGGCUAGCGUUGCUCGGAAUCACUGGGCGUAAAGGGUGCGUAGGCGGGUUUUUAAGUCAGAGGUGAAAUCCUGGAGCUCAACUCCAGAACUGCCUUUGAUACUGAAGAUCUUGAGUUCGGGAGAGGUGAGUGGAACUGCGAGUGUAGAGGUGAAAUUCGUAGAUAUUCGGAAGAACACCAGUGGCGAAGGCGACUUACUGGACACAUAUUGACGCUGAGGUGCGAAAGCGUGGGGAGUAAACAGG
rnacentral:rRNA from 1 species